rnacentral:rRNA from 1 species
ACUCAAAGGAAUUGACGGGGACCCGCACAAGCGGUGGAGCGCCUGCUUUAAUUCGAUGAUUACCGAAGAACCUUACCAAGCUUUGACAUGCAUCUGCAAGGCCGCGAAAUCGGCCCGCCUUCGAGGGAGAUGCACAGGUAUUGCAUGGCUGUUAUCAGCUCGUGUCGUGAGAUGUACCCUUAAGUGGGGUAACGAGCGCAACCCUUAUGGUUAGUUGUAUCACUCUAACAAGACUGCUCGGGCAACCGAGAGGAAGGAGAGGAUCAUAAUAAGUCAGCAUGGUCCUUAUAGCUUGGGCUAGACAGGCGCUACAAUGGCGAGUACAACGGGACGCAACACAGUAAUGUGAAGCAAAUCCCUUAAAGCUCGUCUCAGUUCAGAUUGAGGGCUGAAACUCGCCCUCAUGAAGUUGGAAUCGCUAGUAAUCGUAGGUCAGCUAUACUACGGUGAAUACGUUCUCGGGUCUUGUACACACCGCCCGU